GAUGAACGCUGGCGGCGUGCUUAACACAUGCAAGUCGAACGGGAUCGGCUGGAGCUUGCUCCGGCCGUGAGAGUGGCGAACGGGUGAGUAAUGCGUGACCGACCUGCCCCAUACACCGGAAUAGCUCCUGGAAACGGGUGGUAAUGCCGGAUGCUCCAGUUGACCGCAUGGUCCUCUGGGAAAGCUUUUGCGGUAUGGGAUGGGGUCGCGUCCUAUCAGCUUGAUGGCGGGGUAACGGCCCACCAUGGCUUCGACGGGUAGCCGGCCUGAGAGGGCGACCGGCCACAUUGGGACUGAGAUACGGCCCAGACUCCUACGGGAGGCAGCAGUGGGGAAUAUUGCACAAUGGGCGCAAGCCUGAUGCAGCGACGCCGCGUGCGGGAUGACGGCCUUCGGGUUGUAAACCGCUUUUGACUGGGAGCAAGCCCUUCGGGGUGAGUGUACCUUUCGAAUAAGCAC
rnacentral:rRNA from 1 species